CGGGGCAGUGAUGAAGGUGGGAGGUUUUGGGGAGUGUAUAAAACUCUGUACAAUUGUUGUCUCAUUGCCCUUGUGCCUCUACCCAGAAGAGGACAAGGUGCCGGAUUUUGCAAAAGUCAAUAAAGCUCUAGAAAUUGUUCAAGAUGUCUCCUGUUGAUUCAAAACUGAGAAUUUGUAAUCUCACAAUUGGCGCCCAAACAGGAAUUUGAAGACUCUGCCCUCUGGAGAAGAGGGAGCUGCCUUUAACCUGGAGGCAUGCCACACUGAGUUUAGUGUCUGGGACAGGAGGCUCCUUCUUCUCCAGCAGUGGAUUACUCUUCACGAAAAUGAACCGACAGGGAGAUCUGAACAACCAGGGAGGUGUCACCCGAGCAGGAUAGUCCAACACUGGCACAGCUCAAGUUGUGAUCCAGAUACUGACAUCAGAUUGCUGGACAAUCCUGCUAAAGCCAUGAAGUACAUUGUGACUAUCAGUGAAGAAGGGGAUGCAUCAGAGGAUUCUUUAGC
rnacentral:lncRNA from 1 species